rnacentral:lncRNA from 1 species
AAUUCUGGAUGGCAUUCGUGACUUCGUAGUUGCUAGCAAUGAUAAUUGAAGAAGUAUUGUCAUCUGAAACAGCAUCAUGCAAAACAAAACAACGAAGGUCAGUGACCAUACUUUGUGAGAGCAUUUAUUCUGUAUAUUAUAAAGAAGCAUUUGUUUUGAAUUAUUAACUCUUGGGCACGAUACAUGUUGGAAUAUUCUCUAAGAAAGGCGUGACACAUUGGCUGCAGGUGCCUAGUACUGGUUUUGACAGCAAAAGAGUUUCAUAUUUGGAGAUCAAUUCAUUUGUCUCUCUCUACCCUCUCUCAUCAACCCUCCAAGAUUCCUGUGUUUUCUCUUGUGCGUGCAUCAUCCAAAGGCACCUUUUAUUAUAUUCCUAUGUUUUGCAAUCUUCUAGGAAUUCUCAAUUCCUAGAGGAUAAUAACGAGGCAUCUAUGUUUUUCUAUUCCUACAUUUUCAAUUCCUCUACGAGGGCAAUUAUUUGUCUACUACAAUGGUAACGAGACAUCAAAGUUUUCGAUUCCCUGCAAUUCAAAGAUCCCCUUACUAGGUGGUGAGGACAUCUAAAAGACUGGAGCUACAAAGCUCAGCGGAGCUAAACCCUGCCUGCUGGAAAUGUUUCAGACAUGAGACCACUAUCAAGACCAUGAACCAAAAUGGAUAGAACAGUAGCAGCGGAAUUGGACAGCAGCUACCUAGAGCGUGAAACGACAGAGAGGAAGAGCAGCAAGGACGUGGGGAGGGUCACACAAUCUGCACGGACAACAUUCUACUAUAUUUGUUUAAACCAUAUAUAUGCAUAUGAGAUUCCGAAAACCAAUCCGAAUUUGGCAAACGGCAGCGGCGUGACCCGAACAAGCUGCAGGACAUUUCGCUGCGGGCAGAGAGCGCAAAAGGUGCGGCAGCGGGUGUUGGGGGAUUACCUUUGACGACGGCGAAUAGGGAGCAGAAGAGCGCGGCGGAGGCGACGGCGAGCAGCAGGAGCAGGCCGGCCCCGCGGCGGCCGACGAGGCGCAGCGCGCGGUGCAGCAGCUGCAGGCGCUCCUUGUCCCCGGCGGCGGCGCCGGCGCGCAGGCCCCAGCCCCUGGCCUUCCUCCCGGCGGGGACGGCGGCCGCCGCGGGCAGGGAGCCGCAGCUCCCCGUGCGCAGCCCCAGCGAGGCGGCGCCGCUCAUCGCCUCCUCCGCCCCUCCUCCGCCUCCCGCAUCCCCGCGAUGGCCAGAUCGCGCGCGGCCCAAUCAGAUCCGCGGAGGGCCGAUGCCUCUUCGUAGCCGCCCGCCCGCCCGCCCGCGGAGGAGCUCGGUCAGAGGGAGGCCACUUAACGCCCUCGCGAUCCUGGUGGGUGGGUGGGGAUUAGGAGCGCGGCGCCGUGGAGGUUGCGGUGGCGGUGGCGGCGGCGGCGAGGGGACGAUGAUCUGCUCCGGGAUUGGUAGGUGCGCGUCGUCCGCGAGCGAGCAUGUGAUCCUCCCUCCCUCCCGAACGGAAGCGCGUCGUGGGCUGGGGAUGGGCAGACCAGACCAGACGAGACGACGGUUCCUCCCUCCUUCCUUCCCAAUCCCACUGCCCCACCAACACUGGUCUCUCUCUCUCUCACUCUCUCGUCGUCGUCGUCGUCGCCUGCGGCCUCGGGCUUGCCGACGGACGGGUGAAUUGAAUUGGGGGCGAGGCGGCGUCGGUGAAACGCCACGCACCGACGUGGACGAGGAUGGAGGGCCGGAUCUGGUCUGGUCUCUGUUGCGUGUCACCGCGCUGGCCUCACCCUCACCUCACCUGACCUGACCUGCCGCCGGUUGAGAAAAUCAUUUUUUUGGGCUAGCGUGGCGGUGGCGGUGGCGCUUGCCAUUUGGCGUAGGAGGAGGUGCUACUUCAACUUUGGCACCCACUCACUCACUGGGAGCACGUGUGGGACGCUUAAUAAUGCAAAAGCGAGAGCGUUCGUUCUGGGCGUGGGAGCGAGCGGGCAAGGCAAGCCAGAGCCAACCAGCCAACGCACGAACCAACGAACCCUUUUUUGAUUGCUUUUU